rnacentral:rRNA from 1 species
AACGAACGCUGGCGGCAUGCCUAACACAUGCAAGCCGAACGAGCUCUUCGGAGCUAGUGGCGCACGGGUGCGUAACGCGUGGGAACCUGCCCUUAGGUUCGGAAUAACACAGAGAAAUUUGUGCUAAUACCGGAUAAUGUCUUCGGACCAAAGAUUUAUCGCCUUUGGAUGGGCCCGCGUAGGAUUAGCUAGUUGGUGAGGUAAAGGCUCACCAAGGCGACGAUCCUUAGCUGGCCUUAGAGGAUGAUCAGCCACACUGGGACUGAGACACGGCCCAGACUCCUACGGGAGGCAGCAGUGGGGAAUAUUGGACAAUGGGCGCAAGCCUGAUCCAGCAAUGCCGCGUGAGUGAUGAAGGCCUUAGGGUUGUAAAGCUCUUUUACCCGGGAUGAUAAUGACAGUACCGGGAGAAUAAGCCCCGGCUAACUCCGUGCCAGCCGCCGCAGUAA